UACGGAGGGGGCAAGCGUUGUCCGGACUUACUGGGCGUAAAGGGUGCGUAGGCGGUCUUGUGCGUCGGUGCUGAAAGCGCCCGGCUUAACCGGGCGAGGCGUGCCGAUACGAUAAGACUAGAGGGGCAGCGAGGGUGGCGGAACUCCUGGUGUAGUGGUGAAAUGCGUAGAGAUCAGGAAGAACACCCGUGGCGAAAGCGGCUCUCUGGAACGGUACUGACGCUGAGACGCGAAAGCGUGGGGAGCGAACAGG
rnacentral:rRNA from 1 species